GUCUCAGUAGCUCAGCUGGAUAGAGCAAUGGUCUUCUAAACCAUGGGUCGUGGGUCCGAAUCCCACCUGAGGCA
rnacentral:tRNA from 3 species